AACGAACGCUGGCGGCAGGCUUAACACAUGCAAGUCGAACGGAUGUAGCAAUACAUUAGUGGCGCACGGGAGAGUAACGCGUGGGAACCUACCCUUUAGUUCGGAAUAACGUCGGGAAACUGACGCUAAUACCGGAUGACCUCUACGGAGGAAAGAUUUAUCGCUAAAGGAUGGGCCCGCGUUGGAUUAGCUAGUUGGUGAGGUAAUGGCUCACCAAGGCUACGAUCUAUAGCUGAUCUGAGAGGAUGAUCAGCCUCAUUGGGACUGAGACACGGCCCAAACUCCUACGGGAGGCAGCAGUGGGGAAUAUUGGACAAUGGGGGAAACCCUGAUCCAGCCAUGCCGCGUGAGUGAUGAAGGCCUUCGGGUUGUAAAGCUCUUUUGGUAGGGACGAUGAUGACGGUACCUACAGAAUAAGCCCCGGCUAACUUCGUGCCAGCCGCCGCCGUAA
rnacentral:rRNA from 1 species